rnacentral:rRNA from 8 species
GUUGACCUCGGAUCAGGUAGGAAUACCCGCUGAACUUAAGCAUAUCAAA